rnacentral:rRNA from 1 species
CAUGCAAGUCGAGCGGACAGAUGGGAGCUUGCUCCCUGAAGUCAGCGGCGGACGGGUGAGUAACACGUGGGCAACCUGCCUGUAAGACUGGGAUAACUUCGGGAAACCGGAGCUAAUACCGGAUAACACCGAGGACUUCAUGGUCCUUGGUUGAAAGAUGGCUUCGGCUAUCACUUACAGAUGGGCCCGCGGCGCAUUAGCUAGUUGGUGAGGUAACGGCUCACCAAGGCGACGAUGCGUAGCCGACCUGAGAGGGUGAUCGGCCACACUGGGACUGAGACACGGCCCAGACUCCUACGGGAGGCAGCAGUAGGGAAUCUUCCGCAAUGGACGAAAGUCUGACGGAGCAACGCCGCGUGAGCGAUGAAGGCCUUCGGGUCGUAAAGCUCUGUUGUUAGGGAAGAACAAGUACCGUUCGAAUAGGGCGGUACCUUGACGGUACCUAACCAGAAAGCCACGGCUAACUACGUGCCAGCAGCCGCGGUAAUACGUAGGUGGCAAGCGUUGUCCGGAAUUACUGGGCGUAAAGCGUGCGCAGGCGGUAAUGUAAGACAGUUGUGAAAUCCCCGGGCUCAACCUGGGAACUGCAUCUGUGACUGCAUUGCUGGAGUACGGUAGAGGGGGAUGGAAUUCCGCGUGUAGCAGUGAAAUGCGUAGAUAUGCGGAGGAACACCGAUGGCGAANGCAAUCCCCUGGACCUGUACUGACGCUCA